CUUAAGCAUAUUAAUAAGCGGAGGAAAAGAAACCAACAGGGAUAUUCUUAGUAACGGCGAGUGAAGAGAAUACAGCCCAGCGCUGAAUCGUAUUGCUUGAAAGAGUGAUGCGACAUGUAGCGUGAAACUGGCGGCUGUUGUUGUUAUCGAUGCGUGUAAGUCUCCUUGAGCGGGGCUCAGUCCCAGAGAUGGUGCUAGGCCCGUAUCGCGCGUGAUAAGCACAACAACGCCCGCUUGUGGAGAGUCAGGUUGCUUGGGAACGCAAUCUAAAGCCGGUGGUACACUCCAUCGAAGGCUAAAUAUGGCCACGAGUCCGAUAGCGAACAAGUACCGUGAGGGAAAAUUGAAAAGCACUUUGAAGAGAGAGCGAAAUAGUGCGUGAAACCGCUUAGAGGCAAGCAGAUGGAUUCUCGAAGGUGUGCAUAGGAUUUAUUUCCUAGUUCUCACGCCACCACUGUUGUUGACGUGCACCACACGCUGACAUUUGGACGCUUGAGAUUGGGACUUGUGCCUGCUUGAGACGCUCGGUGUUGAACGUGGUGAGUUUUUGUGGCAUGCAAUAACAGAGCAGAGCAUUUGUCGUCGCUGUAAAGCGCCGACUGUGGCCGCUUGCUGAUGCUUGUCGUUGCGGCAAAGCGCAAGCUUUGACGUGCGAUUAGUGUUGCAAAUCGGCUAUUAGUACCGGCAAGACGACUUUAAGACUCGGUGGCGAGUAGAUGAAAUUCCAUUUAACCCGUCUUGAA
rnacentral:rRNA from 1 species